GCCGGAGUGAUGGAACUGGCAGACAUGCGGGUCUCAAAAACCCGUGGAGUAAAAUCCAUGUGGGUUCAAUUCCCACCUCCGGCACCA
rnacentral:tRNA from 1 species